UUGCAGAUUGAUAUUUAGUAGUUUUCACGGCUAUUUUGGGGAGAAAUCAAACUUUGUCUCCAUUUUUUUGUUUAUUUCCGGCUAAACCAUAAAAUUCUUCAGAGUGCUGCGCCCACAAUUCUCCGCGUAUGAAGGAAAGGAUGGCGCCGAUGCAUAGAUGCAGGUGUGCACUUUCUAGGAAUAUAUGGUUUGUGGAGGGUAUUUUACAGGUAAAGGGCUGUUUAGGCUGGGAAACUGCAAGGUGUGCACCUAGAGCGCAGCCCCAAAUUUUCCAGCUGAAAUUGCCUUUGUGUAUUGGCCCUGUUUUGGGGUGUUUGGAGGCCGCGUCUCUAGGUGCACCCCUGCAUGUGGGGUAUCGUUUUGUUCAGGACUAGUUGCAGAGUGAUAUUUAGUAGGUUUUUUGUAGUUUUCAUGACUAUUUUGGGGAGAAAUCUUACUUUGUCUCCAUUUUUUUUGUUUAUUUCAGGCUAAACUGUAAACUUCGGAGUGCUGCGCCCGCAAUUCUCGGCAUAUGAAGGAAUGGUUGGCGCCGAUAAAUAGCUGCAGGCUAAACCGUAAACUUCUUCGGAGUGCUGCGUCCGCAAUUCUCCGCAUAUGAAGGAAAGGAUGGUGUCGAUGAAUAGCUGCAGGCUAAACCGUAAAAUUCUUCGGAGUGCUGCGUCCGCAAUCCUCUGCAUAUGAAGGAAAGGAUGGUGCCAAUGAAUAGCUGCAGGCUAAACCGUAAACUUCUUCAGAGUGCUGCGUCCGCAAUCUUCCGCGUAUGAAGGAAAGGAUGGCGCCGAUGAAUAGCUGCAGGUGUGUACUUUCUAGGAAUAUAUGGUUUGUGGGGGGUAUUUUACAGGUAAAGGGGUGUUUAGGCUGGGAAACUGCAAGGUGUGCACCUAGAGCGCAGCCCCAAAUUUUCCAGCUGAAAUUGCCUUUUUGUUUUGGCCCUGUUUUGGGGUGUUUGGAGGCCGCGUCUCUAGGUGCACCCCUGCAUGUGAGGUAUCGUUUAGUUCGGGACAAUUUUUUAUUUCUGAUCUGGCUUCAUUGAAAAUUUUUAUUGGAGAUUUUUUUUCUCAAAUUGACUUUUUACUUUGUGACUGUGAUAGUGUUUCAGAAAAAAAUAAAAAACUUGAAAAAUAUUGUUUGAGUUUUAUGGUGGUUUGUGUGAUGGCGACUACAUUUACAGCAAAAACUACACGACAACUAAAAACCUAAAAGUAUGCAGUUUCUAAAAAUACCUAAUUUAUGGGGGGUUUUCACUUCUUUCGUUAGAUAUACCAUGUUAACCGGGAGAUACACUUAUCUAUUUUGUUUUGAGGUGAAAUUGUACAAAAUGCUGUUUCAUUAUUGGGGUGUCCUGUGGACAAGAAAAGUGGGAUACCAAUAUGUAUUUGGUAUUUACAAACAGUAAUUUUUAUCGGCAUAUGUAAGAUAUCUUGGGAAAAAAGACACAAAAUAUAAACCCUUUUUUCUUUAUUUCACUUUUUUUUUUUACAUAUUUCACUCAAAAUUUUUGUUACAUCUCCAGAAUAAGUAAAAAAAUUUUUUACAGCGUUCAAGCCCAAAUCGUUCUGAAAAAAACAAUAUAUAAUUUGCCAUAUUUCGUGUAGGUUUUCUUGUCAAAAAACCUAACUAAAUGCAAUGAGUUCAAAAUGUCUGAAAACUGCUUGGCAGUAGAUGUUCACUUUUGGAACAAAUCGGCUGGCAGUGAAAGGGUUAAUGGACUUACUAUAUAGUCUUUCAUUUUCUUAUAUAUGUGCUAAAAAAGACAAGCAAUAUUACCAUGCCAACAUUUCCCAUUUUUAGAUUUCUAUUUCAUUUGUUUGUACCCUUUAUUUGUGCUGGGCGCUUUUCUGUUAAUACACAUAUGAAGUUUCCAUAUUAUUUAACACAGAUGUGAUGUUGUUUGCUUUGUGCUGGGAUACUUUAACUCAGUCACUCUGCAGUAGGUAUUAGAUUCGCUUUAGGACCUUGUGGUUUGAAUAUCUAUUAUAAAGAUAUAAUGCCAGUUGUAAAGGAUAUUGAAGAUGCUUCUUGUUAUAAAAGGAAGGCUAUAACCAUUUAAAUAUAAGUUCCUCAAGUAUAGAGCAGGUUCAAUCAUAGACUGUCUAUCCAUCCUGUAUUUUUUUUUUUGCUUAUUCUUGUAGUUUUACUACCAAAAAUACAACCUUUCCUAUAUUUGUAUCUUUCUGCCCUGUUAAUAAC